rnacentral:rRNA from 1 species
GAUGAACGCUGGCGGCGUGCCUAAUACAUGCAAGUCGAGCGAACAGACGAGGAGCUUGCUCCUCUGACGUUAGCAGCGGACGGGUGAGUAACACGUGGAUAACCUACCUAUAAGACUGGGAUAACUUCGGGAAACCGGAGCUAAUACCGGAUAACAUGUUGAACCGCAUGGUUCAACAGUGAAAGACGGUCUUGCUGUCACUUAUAGAUGGAUCCGCGCCGCAUUAGCUAGUUGGUAAGGUAACGGCUUACCAAGGCAACGAUGCGUAGCCGACCUGAGAGGGUGAUCGGCCACACUGGAACUGAGACACGGUCCAGACUCCUACGGGAGGCAGCAGUAGGGAAUCUUCCGCAAUGGGCGAAAGCCUGACGGAGCAACGCCGCGUGAGUGAAGAAGGUCUUCGGAUCGUAAAACUCUGUUAUUAGGGAAGAACAAAUGUGUAAGUAACUAUGCACGUCUUGACGGUACCUAAUCAGAAAGCCACGGCUAACUACGUG